rnacentral:sRNA from 1 species
CUUCCUCGAUCUGUUGCGGGCAAAUGAAAUGGAUGUGCGUAUCGAUGCCGCCGGCGGUGAUGAUCUUGCCCUCGCCUGCGAUGAUUUCGGUCCCGGGCCCGAUCACGAUGUCGACGCCACGCUGCACGUCGGGAUUGCCGGCCUUGCCGAUCGCGGCAAUGAGCCCGUCCCUGAUCGCGAUGUCGGCCUUGACGAUGCCCCAGUGGUCGAGGAUCAGCGCGUUGGUGAUGACGGUGUCGGCCGCCCCCUCACUGCGCGUGCGUUGCGAUUGUCCCAUGCCGUCGCGGAUG